rnacentral:rRNA from 1 species
AUUGAACGCUGGCGGCAUGCUUUACACAUGCAAGUCGAACGGUAACAGGCCGCAAGGUGCUGACGAGUGGCGAACGGGUGAGUAAUGCAUCGGAACGUGCCCAGUCGUGGGGGAUAACGCAGCGAAAGCUGCGCUAAUACCGCAUACGAUCAAUGGAUGAAAGCGGGGGACCGUAAGGCCUCGCGCGAUUGGAGCGGCCGAUGUCAGAUUAGGUAGUUGGGGGGGUAAAGGCUCACCAAGCCAACGAUCUGUAGCUGGUCUGAGAGGACGACCAGCAACACUGGGACUGAGACACGGCCCAGACUCCUACGGGAGGCAGCAGUGGGGAAUUUUGGACAAUGGGCGCAAGCCUGAUCCAGCAAUGCCGCGUGCAGGAAGAAGGCCUUCGGGUUGUAAACUGCUUUUGUACGGAACGAAACGGUCCUGGUUAAUACCUGGGGCUAAUGACGGUACCGUAGGAAUAAGCACCGGCUAACUACGUGCCAGCCGCCGCUGUAAAAC